rnacentral:rRNA from 1 species
UACGUAGGGUGCAAGCGUUGUCCGGAAUUAUUGGGCGUAAAGAGCUCGUAGGCGGUCUGUCACGUCGGCUGUGAAAACCCGAGGCUCAACCUCGGGCCUGCAGUCGAUACGGGCAAACUAGAGUACUGCAGGGGAGACUGGAAUUCCUGGUGUAGCGGUGAAAUGCGCAGAUAUCAGGAGGAACACCGGUGGCGAAGGCGGGUCUCUGGGCAGUAACUGAC